GCUCUCAAGACAAGUUGGACUCUAUCUCCCGUGCCUACUGAGCUGAUUAGCAGUUGAUACCAGAAACACUGGCUCAGUUCAGCAGGAACAGGAGCUCAGUACCAUUUUCCACAGGGAACCA
rnacentral:precursor_RNA from 17 species